rnacentral:lncRNA from 1 species
CAGCUAUGAAGUCUGUGAAUCCUGGGAGAAUCAGGAAGUCGUCGUAGGUGAGGCAGUCGGCGCUGGCAAAGAGCUGCUGCGCGGGGAGCCAGUUAUCGGGCACAUAGUCGGUGCCGCCCCUGAUCAGACUGGUGCACAAAGACUCCAUCUAACAGCUACCCGUAUUUCCUGACAGUGACUCUGAAAGGAAGCUGUUCCUGUGCAGUUUGCUCUCCUGGAUUUCUCCCAAGGGACUACUGUCAUGGAACAGAAUUCCACUCAGG